GAUGAACGCUAGCGGCAGGCCUAACACAUGCAAGUCGAGGGGCAGCACGAUAAAGCUUGCUUUAUUGGUGGCGACCGGCGCACGGGUGCGUAACGCGUAUGCAACCUACCCUGUACUGGGGGAUAACCCGGAGAAAUUCGGACUAACACCCCAUAGUAAUAUACUUUCGCAUGUUAGUAUAUUUAAAGGUUACGGUACAGGAUGGGCAUGCGUCCUAUUAGCUAGAUGGUGAGGUAACGGCUCACCAUGGCGAUGAUAGGUAGGGGGCCGUGAGAGGGUGGUCCCCCACACUGGUACUGAGACACGGACCAGACUCCUACGGGAGGCAGCAGUGAGGAAUAUUGGUCAAUGGGCGCAAGCCUGAACCAGCCAUGCCGCGUGCAGGAAGAAU
rnacentral:rRNA from 1 species